GACGAGGGACCUAGCGUUGUUCGGAAUCAUUGGGCGUAAAGCGGGUGUAGGCGGACUUAUAAGUCAGGUGUGAAAUCCCAGGGCUCAACCCUGGAAGUGCAUUUGAUACUGUAAGUCUUGAAUGUGGUAGAGGUUACUGGAAUUGCUGGUGUAGUGGUGAAAAUACGUAGAUAUCAGCAGGAACACCGGAGGCGAAGGCGGGUAACUGGGCCAACAUUGACGCUGAGACCCGAAAGCGUGGGGAUCAAACAGG
rnacentral:rRNA from 1 species